rnacentral:rRNA from 1 species
UACAGACGGUCCAAACGUUAUUCGGAAUCACUGGGCUUAAAGAGUUCGUAGGCGGUCAGGAAAGUGGGGUGUGAAAGCCCUCGGCUUAACCGAGGAAUUGCGCUCCAAACUCCCUGACUUGAGGAGGCUAGAGGUAAGCGGAACUGAUGGUGGAGCGGUGAAAUGCGUUGAUAUCAUCAGGAACACCGGAGGCGAAGGCGGCUUACUGGACAAUUGCUGACGCUCAGGCACGAAAGCGUGGGGAGCAAAAGGG